CCUACGGGUGGCAGCAGUGAGGAAUAUUGGUCAAUGGGCGAGAGCCUGAACCAGCCAAGUCGCGUGAGGGAGUACUGCCCUAUGGGUUGUAAACCUCUUUUGUCGGGGAGCAAAAGCCGGACGUGUCCGGCUGUGAGAGUACCCGAAGAAAAAGCAUCGGCUAACGCCGUUCCAGGAGCCGCGGUAAUACGGGGGAUGCGAGCGUUAUUCGGAUUUUUUGGGCGUAAAGGGCUCGUAGGCGGGUCGUCGCGUCCGGUGUGAAAGUCUCUCGCUUAACGGUGGAUCCGCGCCGGGUACGGGCGGGCUUGAGUGCGGUAGAGGAGACUGGAAUUCCCGGUGUAGCGGUGGAAUGUGUAGAUAUCGGGAAGAACACCAAUGGCGAAGGCAGGUCUCUGGGCCGUUACUGACGCUGAGGAGCGAAAGCGUGGGGAGCGAACAGGAUUAGAUACCCCAGUAGUC
rnacentral:rRNA from 1 species